UACGAAGGGGGCUAGCGUUGCUCGGAAUCACUGGGCGUAAAGGGUGCGUAGGCGGGUCUUUAAGUCAGGGGUGAAAUCCCGGAGCUCAACUCCGGAACUGCCUUUGAAACUGCAGUGCUAGAAUCCUGGAGAGGCGAGUGGAAUUCCGAGUGUAGAGGUGAAAUUCGUAGAUAUUCGGAAGAACACCAGUGGCGAGGGCGACUCGCUGGACAGGUAUUGACGCUGAGGUGCGAAAGCGUGGGGAGCAAACAGG
rnacentral:rRNA from 1 species